rnacentral:rRNA from 1 species
GAUGAACGCUAGCUACAGGCUUAACACAUGCAAGUCGAGGGGCAGCAUGAACAAAGCUUGCUUUGUUUGAUGGCGACCGGCGCACGGGUGCGUAACACGUACCCAAUCUGCCCGCGGCUCGGGGAUAGCCCAUCGAACGAUGGAUUAAUACCCGAUGGCGUGGUCACUCCGCAUCGGGCUUCCACGAAAGGUUUUCCGGCCGCGGCUGGGGAUGCGGAUGAUGAGGUAGUAGGCGGGGUAACGGCCCACCUAGCCUUCGAUCAUUAGGGGUUCUGAGAGGAAGGUCCCCCACACUGGAACUGAGGCACGGUCCGGACUCCUACGGGGGGAAGCAGGGAGGAAUAUUGGUCAAUGGGCGAGAGCCUGAACCAGCCAAGUAGCGUGAAGGAAUACUGCCCUAUGGGUUGUAAACUUCUUUUGUUCGGGAAUAAAGUGCAGUAUGUAUACUGUUUUGUAUGUACCGUUCGAAUAAGCAUCGGCUAAUUCCGUGCCAGCCGCCGCCGUAAUAC